UUAGGACAAAGUGCGAACGCUU
rnacentral:miRNA from 1 species